rnacentral:rRNA from 1 species
GCUUGCUCUUAUGAAGUUAGCGGCGGACGGGUGAAGUAACACGUGGGUAACCUGCCCAUAAGACUGGGAUAACUCCGGGAAAACCGGGGCUAAUACCGGAUAACAUUUUGAACCGCAUGGUUCGAAAUUGAAAGGCGGCUUCGGCUGUCACUUAUGGAUGGACCCGCGUCGCAUUAGCUAGUUGGUGAGGUAACGGCUCACCAAGGCAACGAUGCGUAGCCGACCUGAGAGGGUGAUCGGCCACACUGGGACUGAGACACGGCCCAGACUCCUACGGGAGGCAGCAGUAGGGAAUCUUCCGCAAUGGACGAAAGUCUGACGGAGCAACGCCGCGUGAGUGAUGAAGCUUUCGGGUCGUAAAACUCUGUUGUUAGGGAAGAACAAGUGCUAGUUGAAUAAGCUGGCACCUUGACGGUACCUAACCAGAAAGCCACGGCUAACUACGUGCCAGCAGCCGCGGUAAUACGUAGGUGGCAAGCGUUAUCCGGAAUUAUUGGGCGUAAAGCGCGCGCAGGUGGUUUCUUAAGUCUGAUGUGAAAGCCCACGGCUCAACCGUGGAGGGUCAUUGGAAACUGGGAGACUUGAGUGCAGAAGAAGGAAAGUGGAAUUCCAUGUGUAGCGGUGAAAUGCGUAGAGAUAUGGAGGAACACCAGUGGCGAAGCGACUUUCUGGUCUGUAACUGACACUGAGCGCGAAAGCGUGGGGAGCAAACAGGAUUAGAU